GGCUCCUUGGAGCAGCACAGGGUGGGUAUUAAGCUGCCACAGCUCAGUUUUAACGCCUGCCAACUCUGACUUAAAUAGAAAUUCAACAUGCCGGGUGGCACCUGGAAGGAUCACAUCUGGGCAGGAGCAAAAGCAGAAGGUACGUACUAGGGGAAGUGUUAAAGUAGAAGCAAUUCUCCUUCCGCCGUGAUUGAAGUUGAAGAUGGGGAAAGCUGCUUGGUAUGUGGAUCUGCUGCCAGCUGUAGAAGAUGGCUGUGCUGCCCACAUUCUGCAGCUCCAGGUGAGCUGAGGCUAUUUUUCCAGUUACAACUUCAAAGUUUAUUGUAGUACUAAUUCCCACCUCCUUCUGCACACACACAUGCACACACACAUAACACACACAAACUUAAGAUCACUGAACUGGGGAAACUAAGCAAUACAGACUGACCAACAGAAGCACACAGGCCUCACAGACGAGGCCACAAACACACAAUUUAAUAUAUUUGACGAAACGAACAAAGAACAGAUGAAGAAUGAGUCCUUAGAUGGCAACAGGGGUGUAGGUGUUGACAGGAAAUUACGUAACACAACAACAAAGGACUAAAACAAAACGGGCCGGAGGGAUGAACUGCAACAGUACCUGGUUAGAGCUAGAGCUCCCGGUCCAACUAGCAAGUUGACCACAGAAUCUCAAAACAGGAAUGUUCAAAGUAUCCGACACAGCAUCGUCAGCCUGUGCCAGGUUAUCACUGUGGAGGUAAAUGAGAUGAUGGAUAUGAUGGAUAUAACACCUGUCACACAGACACUCCUACACCUCCUUACUGUGUAUAACAUGGUUUCACUUACAGUAUAUGCUGCAUACAGUAUGAUGCAUGUUACUGUAACACUGUUCACUGUGUUUGGAAAAUGACUAACAAAAGAGAAGCAGACGAGGGAGGCAUUUCUUACAGGUUCUCCUUUUUCAUUUCGCUGUGCUCCUCCGUCUGCGUUUCCACUACGGGGCUGGGGCCCACUGUGACAGCAGCUAAUGGUCUCCCACAGCCAAUCACCUCCAGUCCACUGAUGUCCUGUUAUCAAGGCGACACAGAGCGGUGCAGCUGUUUUAAAGGAGCAUGUGAUAUUUGGGUGGCCAUUCUCCACUGGAGGUUGAAGAGUGUUACCCACCGCCCUUCUGGGAAGCUGCCUGGCCCGUUCUACUGGCACCUAACAGAACAGCUGGAAGGACACCAUUACAUGUACUGUACGUGUCUGGUGAAACCUUCACCGUGACACAAUAAGGUGUUGUGUAACUCACUGCAACUGCUGGUUGACAUUGUAAAGUUUUAGUAUGUACUAUUAAAUUAUACCUGAUCCAGAUGU